UACGGAGGGUGCGAGCGUUGUCCGGAAUCACUGGGCGUAAAGGGCGCGUAGGCGGCCGUGUAAGGGGGCGGUGAAAGCCCGGGGCUCAACCCCGGGUCUGCCGGACCGACUGCAGGGCUUGAGCACACUAGGGGCGGGUGGAAUUCCGGGUGUAGCGGUGGAAUGCGUAGAGAUCCGGAAGAACACCGGUGGCGAAGGCGGCCCGCUGGGGUGUGUCUGACGCUGAGGCGCGACAGCGUGGGGAGCAAACAG
rnacentral:rRNA from 1 species